rnacentral:lncRNA from 1 species
GAGUUGGUGGAGCCUGCACUCCCAGCAGCUAAGGUAGAAGCAUAUGGGAAACUGCAUUCCGAUCCAGGGAAGUAUAGGAAGCAGUAAUAAAAGUGGGAAGACCUAUUAUAAGUUCGUUGCAGUCAUCCAGGAGGCAGAGUGUGUGCAGGAACUCAAAGCCCAUGGAACAGCAGGAUGCAGCUUUUCUUGGCUCCGUUACUGAGAGAUCCUGUCUGAUGUUUCCUCUCUGACAGGCCGUGACUGGGGACAUUUGGAUGGCCAGCAGAGCUGGAUUUAGAGGCAGAAGAGCUGGGCAGCUGUCCCAGUUACUCAUCUAUGAGGGGAGCUGAAAGAUCAUGAGAAUAAAUCAGAAAGAUGGUGCCAGUUAACCCCGCUUUCCACACAAGACUCUUGAUAUAAUUGGUGAAGUGGAAACUCCAGCCAAAGUACACUCCAUCCUCAAGCAAAACAUAAAACACACUCCUGAUGGAUACAGAAAGUUCUGGUGGCCUUAGAGCCUGAUUUGGUGCCAACCUGCCUGCGUUCAAAUCCAGGUUCCACUACUCACUGGAUGUGUGACCUUAGACAACUUCUUUCACCUCCUAGUGCUCUGUUCCCUUGGCUAUAAAAUAAAAAUUAUAAGAGUGCCA